AGCAGCCGUUCCUAGAACAGUCUC
rnacentral:siRNA from 1 species